rnacentral:rRNA from 1 species
AUUGAACGCUGGCGGCAUGCCUUACACAUGCAAGUCGAACGGCAGCACGGGUGCUUGCACCUGGUGGCGAGUGGCGAACGGGUGAGUAAUACAUCGGAACGCACCUUAUCGUGGGGAUAACGCAGCGAAAGUUGCGCUAAUACCGCAUACGCCCUGAGGGGGAAAGCGGGGGACCGUAAGGCCUCGCGCGAUUAGAGCGGCCGAUGUCUGAUUAGCUUGUUGGUGAGGUAAAAGCUCACCAAGGCGAUGAUCAGUAGCUGGUCUGAGAGGACGAUCAGCCACACUGGGACUGAGACACGGCCCAGACUCCUACGGGAGGCAGCAGUGGGGAAUUUUGGACAAUGGGGGAAACCCUGAUCCAGCAAUGCCGCGUGAGUGAAGAAGGCCUUCGGGUUGUAAAGCUCUUUUGUCAGGAAGAAACAGCAGCUCUAACACAGUCUGCGAAUGACGGUACCUGAAGAAUAAGCACCGGCUAACUACGUGCCAGCCGCCGCCGUAA